AUGUCCUGCCACAGUGUCUCAUCUGUCCUCCCCGAGACCCAGUGUGCCCCUACACUUCAGCGCACUCUGUCCCUAGUGCCCCCUCACCUCCGAGUGCCCUUCCCCUGCCCAGCUCAGGGGUCCCAGUGCCAGCCCCCAUCACCAGUGCUGCCCUGGUACCAGUGCCUCCUGCCGCGGGCCGUGUGCUCUCCCCAGCCCAGCUGGAGGAGCAGUGUCCCGGUGUCCCCAAGGGCUGCUCCAACCCAGCGUACCGAGCAGUAUCCCGGUGUCCCAGCAGUCCCGGUGUCCCCGCUGUCCCGGUGUCCCCGCAGUCCCGGUGUCCCCGCUCUCCCGGUGUCCCCGCUGUCCCGGUGUCCCCGCAGUCCCGGUGUCCCCGCAGUCCCGGUGUCCCCGCUGUCCCGGUGUCCCCGCUCUCCCGGUGUCCCCGCAGUCCCGGUGUCUCCGCAGUCACGGUAUCCCCGCAGUCCCGGUGUCCCCGCUCUCACGGUGUCCCCGCUCUCCCGGUGUCCCCGCUCUCCCGGUGUCCCAGCAGUCCCGGUAUCCCCGCAGUCCCGGUGUCCCCGCAGUCCCGGUGUCCCCGCAGUCCCGGUAUCCCCGCUGUCCCGGUGUCCCCGCUGUCCCGGUGUCCCCGCAGUCCCGGUGUCCCCGCUCUCCCGGUGUCCCCGCAGUCCCGGUGUCCCCGCAGUCCCGGUGUCCCCCGCAGUCCCGGUGUCCCCGCAGUCCCGGUGUCCCCGCUCUCCCGGUGUCCCAGCAGUCCCGGUGUCCCCGCAGUCCCGGUGUCCCCGCUCUCCCGGUGUCCCAGCAGUCCCGGUGUCCCCGCUCUCCCGGUGUCCUCAGGGCCGCCCCUGCCCCCGCGUCCCCUCAGCGCCCACCCCGACCCCGUCCCCAGCCCCGCCAGCCCCGCCCCUGCCAGCCCCGACCCCAGCCCCGCCAGCCCCGCCAGCCCCGCCCCCGCCAUCCCCGCCAAUCAGACCGCGCUAUUGCCGAUUGGCCCCGCCCCCUCCCUGUCAGUCACGGCUC
rnacentral:lncRNA from 1 species